rnacentral:misc_RNA from 1 species
AAGUCGUAACAAGGUUUCCGUAGGUGAACCUGCGGAAGGAUCAUUAACACGUAUCCACGUUAUCAACCAAACUACCGCGAACGUUUCUCCCCUUACAACCGAUCUCUUCGUGCUUGGCUCAGUCUAUGAUGGGUCAUACGCUUGCUUCAUCGCAAACGUAUGACACGGCUGAGCGAACGGCCCGGUUCCUCUCUCCGAGAGGAAGCGAAGUAACUGGAUGUUUGGGCUUUCCAUUUCAUUCGAUUCUCCCAACCAUUUUGGGCGAUUCGUUUGAUAACCAUACCAAUUUCACCCUAUUUUACCCAAUUGGCUAAUUUCCUAUUGAAAGAGAGAAAUCUCUUCCAAUCCUAAGAUUUAUCUUAACUAAGCACAACUCUUAGCAAUGGAUAUCUUGGUUCUC